rnacentral:sRNA from 1 species
AAUCCUAAAUACUGAUAAUAUUCAUUAUGUUCUUGAAUGACAGAGUCUAAAUCAGAAGCUGAACUUUGAGAAGACAAGGUACUAAUCUGAUUCCUAUUUUCCUGAGGUGACGAAAUUUGCGGUGAUUUUGUUAUGGAAGAAGAACCAAUCUUGAAUAGGGAAGUGAUGCUACAAAAAUGCUAAAAAAUGAAUUAAUAUAAUGCAAAUGUCAGUUUAGUAAAUAUAAAUAAUGAUGCUUAUCUAUAUGGAAAGAAGGCAAAAUAUAAAUAGGUAGUCUAUUCAUAGAUAUUACAUUGAUCCAGGUAUUAAGAACAUGAAAUCAUUAGGCUCUAUUAAAAGAAAAAUUCAUUGUAAUUCAUACUUAUUUUCUAAUCACUUGUAAUAGAAUUUUUAAUAGUCUAUUUUUCAGAACAAUUUUAGGCUCACAGCAAAUACAAUAGAAUUUUAGUUAUACAAUUCAUACAUGAAUACUAUUUCCUUGAUAAGAAUUUUAAAAUAUUACCAGUAAGGCUAAAGUUAUCUUUACAGCUAGAAUUAAGGGUAUGUUAGGACUGUUUGGAAGAGGUAACGUAAAUACAUGUGAAUAGGGUAUAUAACUGAAUUUUCUAUGAGCACAAUAAUAUUCCAAAAUGAUUUAAAGCUGACUAUAUUGAAUUUAUCUGUAUAAAAUAGCUUUAGAAUGUAUAAUAUAGGCUGGGGUUUAUGGCUCAUGCCUGUAAUCCUAGCACUUUGGGAGGCCAAGGCAGUUAGAUCACUUGAGGUCAGGAGUUUGAGACCAGCCUGGCCAACAUGGUAAGACCCUGUCUCUACUAAAAAUACAAAACUUAACCAGGUGUGGUGGUGCACAACUGCAGUCCUAGCUGCUCGGGAGGCUGAGGCACGAGAAUUGCUUGAACCCAGGAGCUGGAGACUGCAGUGAGCCGAGAUCAAGCCAUUGCACUCCAGCCUGGGUGACAGAGGGAGACUCCAUCUCAAAAAAAAAGAAAAAAAUACUGUAAUCCCAGCACUUUGGGAGGCCAAGGUGGGUGGAUCACCUGAGGUCAGGAGUUUGAGACCAGACUGACCAAGAUGGUGAAACCCCGUUUCUACAAAAAAAAAAAAAAAAAAAAAAAAAA